UUCCCUGCAGCCAAAUGUGACUCCACGAUCCGUGAGUUCCGUCUCCUCCCUGGAAUUCCUUCAAUUCCCCCCAAAUUUGGGGCCUGAGAGGAGAAACAACCCCUGGGGGUCAAACCCAAAUUCCUGGGAAAAAAGGGGCAAAAUCCCAUGGGAAGGGGGGGAAAAAUCCACCAGGAAUUAAUGGGAUUUCCUGCUUUUCCAGGACUUUUCACGGUGGAACUCGGUGAGUCCCUCCUUCAACUUUAAUUCAAUUACCCCAAACCAAUUCCAACCUGAGAAAUACCCCCAAAAUUGGCUUUUUUUUGUCCUUUUUCCCCUCAUUUUCAGGUGAGAGACACACGAAAAUCGGUGAGUUUGGGAAAAAAUCCCCGGAGGAAUUCCUGGAAUUCCUGGAAAUUCCUGGAAAUUCCCAACCUCCCCCUGCUGGGCCUGCAGGAAAAGGGACAUUGGGCCUUAAAAUUCCCUUUUUUCCCUCAUUUUCAGGGGAGCUCACAGCAGAUGUUGAGUGCUGCAAGAAAAAGCUCCGGGAACAUGAGGAGGAACUGGAGGCCCGAGACACCCAAAUCCGUGAGUAUUUUCCAGUUUUGUGUUUGUUUGUUUAGACUUUUAAAAGGAAAUCAUUUAUUUCAAUCCCUUUCUCCUUCCAGGGGAGAACGAGGCCGAGAUCAGUAAGUCAGAAAUUCAGAUGUUAUUUUACCUUAUUAAAUACUAUAGAAUGAUAAAACAGCCCAUAAAUGGAAUUAUAUCCAUAAAUUUGAAUUAAAUUGAAUUAAUCUCUCUCUGCCUCCCCCAGGGCGCCUGAAGGAGCAGCUGGGUGAGUGUACCACCCCCGUUUUUAGGGUCCCAAACUCACAUUUUUAGGGCCCAAACCCACAUUUUUAAGGCCCAAAGCUCAUUUUAAAGGCCCAAACCCCCAUUUUUAGGGUUCCAAACCCCCAUU
rnacentral:lncRNA from 1 species